AAAUUGAAGAGUUUGAUCAUGGCUCAGAUUGAACGCUGGCGACAGGCCUAACACAUGCAAGUCGAACGGUAACAGAAAGAAGCUUGCUUCUUUGCUGACGAGUGGCGGACGGGUGAGUAAUGUCUGGGAAACUGCC
rnacentral:rRNA from 1 species